rnacentral:lncRNA from 1 species
UAAUCUUUGUCUUGUUGAUAGUCUUGAUGAUUGGUCAUUUUCUUUAAGUUUUACAAAUUUUAUUUGUAAAUCUCUCAUCCCACAUAUGAUAUCAUUGAUGUCCACUUCUUCUUUCUUUGAUGUAGCCAUUGAAGGUUGAAUCAAAGAUGUUGGAUGGAUAAUAGACAUUUUUAUCUUAAACGCUUGUAAUAAUCUUUAAAAAUCUACCUUAACUUUUUUCUUUUCUCCUUUUGUAAAUAAUCCUACUGUAUCUUCUAUUUCUUUCUAAUUUUUUGUAAAUCCUUCAUCUUCUUCUUUAUCUUCAAGCAAGUUUUCUAAAUUUUCUUACAACUCUCCAUCAACUACUUAAAGAAAGAGCUCUACUUUACUUGGAUCUAAUAAUUAUCUUUUUUUCUUUGAUAAAGAAGAAUAUUGCUUUUUAAAACCUCCUUAAUAAUUUUGUUGCUAGAAGAUCCUUCUUUGGCCUUUCUUUUCAUUCAAAAAAUGAUUUCUUUAUAAUCUAAUCACUUUCUUCUAAGAAAAAUUCAUCUUUUAAUACUUGAGAUAAUUUUUUUCCAAGAACCAUUAGAAUAUCUUACAAUAGAUUUAAUAUGAUUCUUAUUUCUAAUACAAUAGCCAGUUUAAAUAAUUGAACCAUUUCUCUUUCUGGAACACGCUUCAACUCUAUUUCUUUUACAUAGCACCUUAAAUACUUUGUAAUGUCCUUUCCUUCAAAUUAAUCAAUCUUAUCUACAACUACUUGUAUUGAUU